CAGCUGUUCCCAUUCCCAGAUUGGUUCUGUUAAACCACCAACCAUCUCUGUACUCACAAAGAGAUCAACAUGUUCUCCUCCUGAAAUCGAAGUUUCUGGUGAGCUUUCCACACGAAAUGAUGUCUCCGCAACUGCAACAUCACUUGUAAGCAUUCUCUCUGUCUGAAAAACUCCCACAGGGCGUCUAUCAAAAGCUCUUGAGCUUCCUGAUGUUAUGUAUACACGACAUAAACUGAAUUCAUGUCUCAACUAAAUGUUCAAGAAAAAAAAAAAAAUAUAUCAUCAGUUAAAAACUUCGUUCAAUUAAGGAUCUUUGAAAAGAUCAAGAAAAAGCUUUUUUAUAUAUGCAAAUGCAACCUUGGGGAUUGUGGACACGUUGACUGUUUCGUCCACGGCUUUGUACUCAUUCAUCUUCCAUUUUGUUUUUCUUCCUGUUGGUGCUUUGCCAGUGUAGAAAACCAUAGUUUUCUUGACUCCAAUCAUUCGGUUAUCUUUGGAAAAUACUGGACCAGGUGAUCCAGUCGCUUUCCAAUAUCCUGAACCAGUGGUUCUGCUCGGUCUGCCUCCUCUUGCUUCACGUUCUUGUCUUGGCACAAAGAAGAACCAUUGUUCAGCAUCCCCUCGACAUCUCUCUCCCGCAACAUCUGCAGAAGAAAAACAAAGCCGCAAAAGAGAGGAUUUGUAAGUUGAAGUUCCAUACACUAAAAAUUAUUUGUAUUAUUCAUACUAGGGGAGUUCAAUGUGGAUAAAUCAAACCGAUUUGAUCUAAACCGAGAAUACCCAAUCUAAAAACCAAAUUGAGUCUUAAUAUCGCUAUAAUUAAUGUUGAUUUUUUUAAGAAAAAUAUUGAUAAAUUUGAUUAAAUCGAACCCAAACCGAAUCAAAAGUGACUAAAACGAUCUUGAAUUGGUUUCACUUUGGUAACUAUUUUUUUCUUUUAAGAAUAUAAAACUGAAAUGUAUAUAACACAUAUACAGCACCAAAAUGGAGAAGUCUACGUGCUAGAAAACCUAAUUCGUAACUGUAAAUGCCCUUAAGCCUUAUGACUCAAGUAACAUGAUGAUCUUGAUCUACAUUUUACGUAAGGAUAUAACGUACUUGGAAGAUGACUUGGCUCGACCUCAAAGACGUCCAGAACGGGAAUGACACGGUGCAUGGAGUCAUCACUUCUUCCUUCGAGCUGGUUUCGUAGGUAGAACGAAAUCAGUUCAUCUUCCGUGGGAUAGAAGCGAAACCCAAGCGUAAGCUCCUCCUCCAUUUUUGUAUAUGAUAGAUAGAUAUUCUACAGAAGAAAACCUCUUGAUUGUAAUUAUAUUAUCACAAAUUGAUUUGCUUUCUUUUAUUUAGAGGUCAUGGACUCACUGGCAUUAAAUAGGUUGUUGAAGUAGAGAUUGGUUUCUCCGAGUGAAAUGAGAAAAGUUCGACGCGUUAUUAGAAUUUGAUAGAAUUAUUUAUUAUACCUGUUAAUUUUUACGGAUAUUUGGAAAGAUAAAAAAAAAUCUGAUGUUUGACAAGGAUGUUUUUGUGUGUGUAAUUACUUUAGUUGUGGUGUGUUUACUGUUAAGUAAGCUUUUACGAGCCACGUACGCCCAUUGAAUGAGUCAAGCCCUUGUCUUGGAGUCAAAUUUCAGUCUCUUAAUUUUCCUUAGUUUUCUUUUCUCUAUCUUUCAUUUCGGCAUGCCAAUUUUAGAAUAUAAUAAGUUCUUUUUUUCUAAGCAAACUUAGAAUCCUCAUACUUUUAGGG
rnacentral:lncRNA from 1 species